CCCUCCUUGUUGUUUUCCUAUCAUCCAAAUCACUUUUUGUUUAUACUAACUUUUUCUUUACUCUUCUUACUCUCUCAAGCUCUUCCUUUCUUUGAAGCUCCCUCUUCUCUUUCUGACUAUCCCAUCUCGCUUGAAGGACGAAGAAUACAACUCUUCUCUCUCCAGUUCUUUGUUUUCCCUUUCGUUUGAAGACUAAUCACUCUGAGGUCAUAAGGAUGAAAAUGACCAAGAAUGAGGGCAUAAGCCAAGAAAGGGAAUGAUAUCUAGGAAUUGAACGAAAAGGGAGACAGUGUCAUGCUGCUGUGAGAGAAGUUAAGGAAGAAGAUAGAGCUCUGUAUGGAGUUUAUUAAAAAGAUGUUGAUCAGAGAAUGUUACGCCUAAGUGCCAUUAAAUCAAUUCCUACAGAUGCUAGACGAUCUCUUCCUCAAGAUGUUGAGAUUUCUACAAGCAUGUAUGGAUUUCUUUACAUGAUUCAGAGAAGGAUUCCCAUACAACUAGCUGCAAAUUAAAGUUGUAACAAAAAUCUUUCACCGAUGGAAUAGAGGUAUAAUAACUGCAUUUUUUUUUCUUCUGUUUUUGCUGGGUAAGCACUGACUUGAUUUCCAUUUCAUCAUCUUUUGUAUUUUACCUUUGAUGAGCAUGAUAUCUGGUCUGGUUAGAUUUUCUAUUGAUUGUGAUGCCUCCUGAUACAGGUUUUGAUGCACAUGCAUAUUGUAAUGAUCACAUAUGGUAGUUCUAAAGGAAGUAGUUCGUUCAUGUGGUCACUGUGUGUUUCAUAUUGAGUUUAUUCGAUUCUUCGUUUUUAUUUGUUAAUUUGUCUUAAGGAAGAGGGUGUGUAUAUAUAUAUAUGUGUAUCCCUUUUAGUCUUGUUUAAUGUGGUCACUGUGUGUUUCAUAUGUGUAUUAUUUAUUAUUUUUAAGGGGGGUGUUCUUGAUGAUUAUGCAAACCUGUGUAAGAAUUAGGAACACAUUUAAGAUUUCCAUUUAUUCCUGGCCAUUGAAUUUAUUACUUGAGAUCCAUCUUCUCAUCACGGCCUUUUUACAUGUAUGAAGUUAAGAGUAAAGUAGAAAUUUGGAUAAUUAAAGUACAUUACAACUUAGUACCAUAUUUUUAAAGGUUUGUUUUCUUUACAGUUGCAGAUUAUAAACCAAUCUUUAGAGCAUAACAUAGUAUGUUCCUAUACUGUGGUUGUUGGUGGUGUUGUCAGUGGAUUUUGUAGUAUAUUUCAUAGGAAUCAAAAAAAUGAGAAAACGUCAUUUUACCUUGAUUGAUUGGUUUCUUGGAACCACAAAAUGAGUGAUUAUUGUUUUGGUUUUUUUAUUAAUUUUCUUAAGAAACAAGCAGAGGUAUUGUUUGUGGUUUAAGGCCUUGUUUGUUUGUUGAGAAACUGGGGGAGAAUUCUUCACUUGUUCAAAGAUUCUGCAACCAAAGCAAUCCAACGAUGCAUGAUUUGAUUCUUUUGCUAUUCUUAUGUUGUUAUAUAUACAUGUUCUUACAAAUAAUUUUUUUUGUUUCUUCUUUAAAUUAUAUGAGAAAAGGACUACUAUGAAAGAAAACUUUUAACUCUGAAAUCUUUUGAGGAAGUUGACUCUAUAGUGCAAUCAGAAGGCAUUGAUGAAGAUGAUCUUGAUGAACAAGCUCAACAUGAAAGAGCCAUGAAGAUCUCUAAUUAGGCAAACAUAAUUCUCUUGGGACUUAAGAUCUAUGCUACUAUAAAGAGUGGGUCCAUAGCCAUUGCAGCAUCAACACUAGAUUCUUUGCUGGAUCUCAUGGCUGGUGGCAUACUUUGGUUCACUCACUUGUCAAUAAAAAGUAUAAAUAUUUAUAGAUACCCCAUUGGAAAAUUGAGGGUGCAGCCUGUUGGCAUAGUCAUUUUUGCUGCUAUCAUGGCGACACUAGGUACAAUCUGUAGCUUAAUUUGUUGAUAGUUUUCAUAGAUUUUUCUCUUUCUUGCUUCAUUUCUACAUUGAAGGCUGUUUGGCUUCCUUAGUGAACACAUAUAUCAUCUAGUGUGUUUUACUCUGUUUGUUACAGAGUAGAUAAAUUCAUGAGUCUAGGAUGAAACAAGGAAAAAAUAAAGCUUAUUGAGUGACUUUGUUUUAUUAAAUUUGUCUAAAGAAGACGUGUUAUUUUAUUCUAGAAAUUUUCUUUGGUCAUUUUCUGCCGGAAAUCUCUAAAGUAUAUGGUCAUGAUUGCCAACUACAGACACUUAUUAAGGAAUUAGAAGAGUUUUGACUAAGCAUUGGACAUGGUAAUGGUACAUAACCAAAUAAGAGGGACUUUUUCUGCUUAUCCUGCUGCUGCUCUUAGAGAAGAGUUUUCUGAAUAUAUAAUAAGGGGGAAAGAUGCUUAUAAAGUUAUAAUUUUACUGAAUAAAAAAUAUUAAGUGUAUGUUGGAGUUGCUUAGGAAGAAGAGAUUUGUUACAGGUAGGCAGCUGUAUAAUUAUAAAACCAACAAGUCAGUAAAUUAGCUUAUGUAAGCUUUGAAUUUUAGUGAGAUUUCAACUAAAGGAUUCGUCCGAGUAGUACCGCACUCUUGUAAGCUCUUGGAUUGAACCUUUGCAAGAAGAAGCUGAACUUGGAUAUGAGAUUGAUUAUGUGGCCAGGUGUGCAUAUAAAUAAUACUUUUGUUGAUGUAAAAUUUCAUUUUUCCCUCCUUUUUUUCAUGUUGAUUCACUUAUGUACUAACACAUAUUGGCUGUUUUUCUUCAUAUUUUGCUCAAUAUGUUCAGCUCCUAAUUGUGCAUUACAAGUUUACAACAAUGUCUCCAUCAAUUUUAUUCUCAUUGUUAGCACUUCAAAUUAUUCCUUUGUCUUAAAAUACUUGAAUGGAUCUCCUUGUUUGUCCAUUAACUUAGUGAAUUUGUUGGAUUCCAAUGCUCCUGUUGCUAUUUUCUUUUCCAUAAAUAAAGAAAACUUUAGGGGUAUUUGGCAAUUCUUUAUAAAUAAUUUGCUUGAAUUUUUGUGGCUGUGUUGUGAAUAUUCUGCAUCAAAAUAAUCAUCUCUAAAUUAUGAUCUGGCAUUUUACUUUUAAUUCAUUUGAUGAUGAUAUUUAACAGAUAUUAUGGAGAUGAAACCAUCAUUGUGCACUAUGAUUUUCAAACUUUGAAAUAUCAUUGGAAUUGUAAACUGUACAUAGGGCACAAAAUAAGAAAGGGAAUGUAUUCCGAAUUUGCUUCAUGUUUCUGAAGCUGUACGUGUAGUCUAUCUUAUCCCUCUGAUGAUAGUGCUUUACUUGCUAUUAAUUUUGUUGUGGUUUGCACAAGUACUUUAUCAACAAUGAAGGUUCAUGAUCUUUUGAAGCUUUACAAUGAAAUUGAUGUCCCUUCUGAGCGUUUGUUGUUCAAAAUUCCUUCAACUUGGGAAUAUAGGCUGCAAGAUUACUGGAAUCUAAGGGCAUACAAACUCAUUUGACUUUCGUAUACAGGCCAUACAGAUUGGCGCCACUAAAGUACUGUCAAUGCUGUUGAUGACAGCAGAUUUCUUGCCACCAUAUUUUUCUGCAAGCAACUUUGGUCUAGAUGAUAAACAGGUUGCUGAUUUGAAAGAAUGUGUAGGCUUUAUUAUACUAGAGCAAUCUGAAGAAAAUGAAGACUUGUUUGUUGCUAUCAUCAAUCUUUUCACUGCUGCUGCUUGUUAUCAGACUUUAUGGACGUCCAACCAGGUAAUGCUGGUGAUGGGAAGCUGCCAGCAAUUGAGGUUUCCUCUGGGCCAGGAGAGUCUAAAAGUUCAAGCCUUGUAGAUGCAGUACUUUGUUAUGUUGUAAAUUCUGAAAGUCAUAUCAAUAACAAACCCUUUGUGCUGCUUAAUGUACUCAACUUUUUAAAGGCAUCGUGGCAAAGGGCGGCUCAAUAUAUCAAUAUAUUGGCUAGGUUGAAAAGCUCUAAGAAGUUAUGGAAGCAAUUGUCAAAAUGCAUUUCACUAACUUCUCUGGAUUCUUUGCCUGAUAGCCUGAUUGAGAUGGAAGCUCUAAAUCUGGCAUACAAAUAUCAGUGUCAAUCUUCCAUAAUUUCUUGACAUGCUCUCUUUCUCCAUCAAUUGGAAACCUCACUAAGAGGCAAUACUUCAAAUAUUAUGAGCUUAGGCAUAAAUGCACUGUCAUUGGAGCUACCAAAGGAAUUGGGACAACUUACUGAGCUAUUAAGUUUAUGUGACAAGCUAAAUAGAAAAGGAUACUUAAUUUUGAAGGCUUUGUGUUGGGCAGCUGUAUAAUAUUUUGUGUUGAAAGUAGUAACUUUUCAAUUUGUUGAAUAUUUAAGACUACUUGAAUACUUAAAGAACAUUUUGUUGUUGAUGACAGUGUUGAAUGUUUUAAAUUAAUUUGUGGAUUGUUAAUACAAUGUUGAAUGUUUUUACUUUUUGU